rnacentral:rRNA from 1 species
AUUGAACGCUGGCGGCAGGCCUAACACAUGCAAGUCGAGCGAGCGGCGGACGGGUGAGUAAUGUAUGGGGAACUGCCCGAUAGAGGGGGCUAACUACUGGAAACGGUGGCUAAUACCGCAUACUAUCGGAUGAACCCAGAUGGGAUUAGCUAGUAGGUGGGGUAAAGGCUCACCUAGGCGACGAUCUCUAGCUGGUCUGAGAGGAUGAUCAGCCACACUGGAAUUGCGACACGGUCCAGACUCCUACGGGAGGCAGCAGUGGGGAAUAUUGCACAAUGGGCGCAAGCCUGAUGCAGCCAUGCCGCGUGUAUGAAGAAGGCCUUCGGGUUGUAAAGUACUUUCAGUCGGGAGGCGUUACCCACAGAAGAAGCACCGGCUAACUCCGUGCCAGCAGCCGCGGUAAUAC